rnacentral:rRNA from 1 species
GUCCACGCUGUAAACGAUGGGCACUAGGUGUGGGGGGUGUCGACUCCCUCCGUGCCGAAGCUAACGCAUUAAGUGCCCCGCCUGGGGAGUACGGCCGCAAGGCUAAAAACUCAAAGGAAUUGACGGGGGCCCGCACAAGCAGCGGAGCAUGUGGUUUAAUUCGACGCAACGCGAAGAACCUUACCUGGGCUUGACAUGUAGGUCAUAUCCGUGGAAAACACGGAGUCAGUUCGGCUGGACCUUCACAGGUGGUGCAUGGCUGUCGU